GUAUUGUUAUUGUCACCACGAUUUUUGCUACUGAUGUUGCAAUUUCCAUCCACCACAUGCCAUCUUUCUUCAAAAUCUUCAAAAUUAAUUAAAAUUUUCUUUUUUCAAUACCUUUCCAAUUAUUUGAUUGAAUAAUUUUAUUGAUUGAAUAAUUCUUUUGAUUGGAAUAAUAAAAAAAAUAAGUAAAAGCAUAUGGCUAGU
rnacentral:lncRNA from 1 species